UACGUAGGGUGCGAGCGUUGUCCGGAAUUAUUGGGCGUAAAGAGCUCGUAGGCGGCUUGUUGCGUCGACUGUGAAAACCCGCGGCUUAACUGCGGGCUUGCAGUUGAUACGGGCAGGCUAGAGUUCGGGUAGGGGAGACUGGAAUUCCUGGUGUAGCGGUGAAAUGCGCAGAUAUCAGGAAGGAACACCCGGUGGCGAAGGCGGGCUCUGGC
rnacentral:rRNA from 1 species